UACGAACUGUGCGAACGUUAUUCGGAAUCACUGGGCUUACAGGGUGCGUAGGCGGCUCAACAAGUCAGGUGUGAAAGCCCCCGGCUCAACCGGGGAACUGCGCUUGAAACUGUUAGGCUCGAGUCAGCUAGAGGUACACGGAACUUCCAGUGGAGCGGUGAAAUGUGUUGAUAUUGGAAGGAACACCGGAGGCGAAAGCGGUGUACUGGGGCUGGUCUGACGCUGAGGAGCGAAAGCAUGGGGAGCGAACAGG
rnacentral:rRNA from 1 species